rnacentral:rRNA from 1 species
AGUGAACGCUGGCGGCAGGCCUAACACAUGCAAGUCGAACGGCAGCACAAGAGUGCUUGCUCUCUGGGUGGCGAGUGGCGGACGGGUGAGGAAUGCAUCGGAAUCUGCCCAUUUGUGGGGUAUAACCUCUGGAAACCGGGACUAAUACCGCAUACGACCUACUGGUGAAAGCAGGGGAUCUUCGGCCCUUGCGCAGAUGGAUGCGCCGAUGCCGGAUUAGCUAGUUGGAGGGGUAAAGGCCCACCAAGGCGACGAUCCGUAGCUGGUCUGAGAGGAUGAUGAGCCACACUGGGACUGAGACACGGCCCAGACUCCGACGGGAGGCAGAAGUGGGGAAUAUUGGAAAAUGGGCGCAAGACUGAACCAGACAUGCAGCGUGUGUGAAGAAGGCCUGCGGGUUGUAAAGCACUUUUGUUGGGAAAGAAAAGCAGCCGGUUAAGACCAGGUUGUCAUGACGGUACCCAAAGAAGAAGCACCGGCUAACUUCGUG